GGCUGCGUGGCUUAGUGGUGUAAGUGAGGCUACGCCUAUGCACGCUCGCUUUUUAGCGAAUCCUAUAGAUGCCCGGUUCGAACCAGGGCGUAGUUA